rnacentral:tRNA from 1 species
GCCGGAGUGGUGAAAUUGGCAAACACGUGCGACUCAAAAUCGCAUGCUGAAAGGCUUGUGGGUUCGAGUCCCACCUCCGGCACCA